ensembl:lncRNA
ACAGCUCCUUCUGCUGAGUCACAGAAGAAGCUGUGACAACUAAAACUCCCUUGACUCUGUACCUCAGCUUCGACUAGAAAUGUCAGUGUGUUACCAACAUUUUCUACUAAAAUCAAAACAUAGCAUCAUACCUGUUGCUAAGAGAGGCAACUUUGUCCCAGAUGAAAUUAAGGCAAUCUCUACCUCUUAUUCCAUACCAUCAAUGUCAUGCUCAGGCCCCAUAAUUUUUUAUACAUCUUAAGUAAUUACUGCUAUCUUGAUAUAUCCAUGCACAUAUCUUUCCUAUAGUUUAUGAUCCGUGUAUGUAAAUUGUCUUUGAAGUUUAUUUAGUUUGUGAUGUUGAGCUCAACCUGUACUAGCAGUCUUUCAUUACAGGAGGAAUAUUUCACAGCACUGGGUUACUGCAUGCUAUAGCUAGUCCUGGUUCUAGCUGUAGGCAUUGUUCUUUAACUUGAGUGGUUCUUACUGUAAUACUUUUAACAAGGCAUAUACCAACCAUAGUGGUGAUGGCACAUAGUGUUACAUAGAAGCUGACAUCAUGCAAUUUAAGUUAUUGGCUGUUCUCACCCAGCAUCAGGUCUCCUUGAUUACAUGCUAUGGCCAUCCCCAUUGCUCUGUGUCACCUAACUCAUGUACUGUGGUCCCUUGAGCAAAAAUAAUCCCAUGAAUAGGCUUAGCUUUCACCCAAGGCAGGAUUGACUUGGACUGCCUUGAACAGUGUCUUUAUGUGCACCACUGGGACUUCAUCCCCUCUGACAGUAUGCAGGAGGCUUGAUAGGGCGGGACCAGCUCACCUGGCAGAUCCCCCAAGUGUUGACUAACCAGGUGUUUUUUUGCUAAAUGUCCCAGUGUUCGAAUGUCCCUGCACCUAUGGCUCUCAGUGUAGUCUUAACUGCCUCUGUGCUACUUGGUUUUUCCAAAGGUUGUGCAUGAGAGGGGAUGGAGUACAGGCACUUUAUGUCAUGCUGUUUAGCCUAGGUGGUUAGGUUGUUUCAGAAAUGAGUCCCAUUGUCUGACUCAAUUCUUUCUGGGGUACUGUGCUGCAUCAAUACUUGUUUUCCAAUGCCCAGGGGUAGUAUUUUGGGUGGAUUCUGUUGUCCUCUGUACCAAAGAGACUUUAUCUGCUUGGCUUGUUGAACUACAGCAUGUGUUUCACAGUCGUAGAUCACUUGUGUAUUAGUGUUCCAUCACUCAGUCCAUCUAGUCUAACUCCUCUUUGCUGAACUGGAACAUCUACAGAGCCCCAUACAGCCUGACCUUGAGUGUCUCCAGGGAGGGGGCAUCCACCAUCUCCCUGGGCAGCUUGUACCAGCACUUCACUCCCCUUACUAACUUGCCUCUGCAUACCUUCUUUGGCAGCAGUGAACUUUACAAAGAAGCUCUGUUUUUUUCUUUUUUACAUUAAUUUGGUGUGGUCUGCAGGAUCCCAAGGAAAGUGAUGCUGGAAGGGGGCAGGAAUGGAUCUGCUGGAGGGAAUUCCAGGUCUGCUUGGGGUAGUCCUGGCCUGGAGAACAAAGAACGGUGCAGGGAAGGCAUUGGGCUGCCUCACCAAGUGAAAACUUAUCAGCACAUGAAUGGUAGCAGCACACCCAUGGAUAUGUAUAUUCCAAUUGGUACUUACAGGGAGAGUGGAGAACGCAGAGACAAGGGUGGAUGCCCCAUUCCUGGAGGUGCUCAAGGCCAGGCUGGGUGGGGCCCUGGGCAGCCUGACCUGUUGGAGGGCAACCAGUCCACUGCAGAGGAUGGGGCUGUAAGGUCUCAUCCAACCUCAGCCUCUGUGAUUCUGUGAUAAGUUAGAAAACUGGAGCACAAAGCCCUCUAGGACUCAAUCCACAAUCAACAAGAAGUCUGAGUGUGGAUGGAGCUCAGCGCGCUUUGCCUGUAGCCACAAAAGGGGUCUGCAGCAUGUGGAGCAACAACAGGGACAGCACUACCUCCCAUGAGCAUCUCUCUUCCCUCACUGCGGGGAUUCCCAUUCCCUGCCCAUGUCUGAGGGUUGGGGUGCUAUCCAGAGAGACCUUAACAGGCUGAACAGUGGGCCCAGACCCAGCUAGAUAUUCUGCAGAGCCAGAAACAUGCCUGGUGCCUUCCAUGCGCUACGUUUGUUAUGCACCUUCCUCAGAAAGUUCCUGACCUAAAACACAUGGAAAAAGAUGGAAGUGUUUUUGCUGGCUUCAGUUCAUCUGAGAUGAGCCAAAAGUCUUGAAUGGAGAAUACUUUAGUGGAAAUGAGAUACUGUUUUCAGUCGACCUUUUAUCAACCUAAAGAUCCAUGCCUCAAAAGAUUUAUUCAGGGACUUCCUUGUUUACUGGCAUUAUUCAUGUCAGUGACAAGUGCCUUUCCAUAUCUGAUCUGUAGGAAAAAUCUCCCUUUUCCCCCCUCAAUUGUAUGUAGUCCAAAGCUAACUGCAUCUUAGUACUGAGAUUGUUUUCUCCUUGAAUCAAAAUAUUUUGGUUCAGCCUGUGUAUUUUCACAGAUCUUAGCUAAAUCACAAACAAUUUCAUUUCUGUAGCAUCACCAGGCUGACAGAUGUUUCACACGAGGAGCUUUUCAGAAUCUUUCUCUCCACCACUACAGUCUGAGCAAGUACCUGAACGCUUCCUAAGAUGAUAUGCAACAGCUAUAGGAGCUGUAGGAGCAGCUGUAGCUGAGGAUGCAGUAGAUAUUUGGAUACCUGUACCUUAUUUCCAUGUGCAGUCACAAGGAAAGAAGUGGAAAGCUAUGUGCAGUAUAUGUCUCUUUUUCCAAAGUCUGUUCCCGUAUAUUUUUCUGCGUAACUGAGAUUAGAAGACAGUGAGAGCUGCUUUACACAAAUUCUUUCCAUUCUUUGCUUUUGCUGUCCCUGAAUUUUGCAGGAAUGAGGACUUAAAUUAAAAGAGCAGGUGUCCCAUGAGUAACCAUUGCUGCUGCCUGUCCCUCCAUUAUGCAUUGUUGUGUUUAUAGCAGUUAGAGAAGCAGCUUUGACAGUGAUUAGAGGUAGCAGCAAUUCUGCUCACCAAUGCCAACUGCUCAUGCAGGGAUCCAGGAGGAAAGCUGUCAUUGUGCCAUCAAAGGAUAAAAAAAAAAUUGCAACAAACAGUGGCACAAAAAGACUGUUUUAGAGAAAAAAUAUCUUCAAAAUCUUAAAUAAGUACAACCCAUAAGAGAAAGGGUUGAAUCUAAUGGGUGCCUUCAAUGAGCAUCACACCAGUUGAGGGCACGAAGAUACGUGAGCAAAGUGACAAAAAUGAAGCUCUGAGUAGCAUAAGCCUUUAGUAAGGGCUGCAUCUCUUUGGAAGGAAGAAGGACCUCUCUUGUUGAUGCAGCAAAGAGACAGAAAGUCAUUCUGCCAACACUGGUCUGGUGCUGACAAGCCCAGCAGAUGAUUGUCAUCAGGCAAAUCAGAUGGGAGUUUCUACUGAAUGUCGAAUGCAGCUAAAGAUCUGAUUUGCCUUGCCUGCAGUCAGUCGGAGCAAACACCUACCCAGGCACUCAGCACCUGGGUAACUCCGCAAAGACAAGGAAAAGUCAGAAAUGGGCAACACCUUGCAGGGGAGGUUGUAAAUGGAAUGUAAUGGUCCAGAGAGAGGGGAAACCUCAUGCACAUGAAGGGUUAUGCCCACUUCUCCUGAAGGCGAUGUCUUGUUGGCCAUGUCAACAAGAAGGCAGUGGGCAUAGGUCUGUGCCAGCAGAAUUGCUUUUACAAUUCUUUCUCCCAAGUUCUACUCUGUUUCCAUGAGCAAAUAAACGGAUUGUUUAAUCUCCUGAGGCAGUGGAUUUAUCUGCUUUUAAAGGGGCUUUUAUAGUCCUUUCCUUGUGUUUUCUGCAAGGUGGCUGUGUGACAUGAAAAGUAUUAUUCACCUGUGCUUUUACAUG